rnacentral:miRNA from 14 species
UGGCCUGAGGGAGCACUGAGGUGCUGGGCAUCGCGCAAGCUCCUUCCUACUGAUUUGUCUCCUCAG